rnacentral:misc_RNA from 1 species
UUCUCUGAGCUCUUGUUGAACUCGGUCUUGGUCGAAGAUGAAAACUGUGAUGAGGUGACAUCAAACAAUGGCAUUGAUAGCUACAACGAAGAGGAAUUAGAGAGAAUGGUUUAUGAACUUCAAGCCGACAUAUGUAGGAGCGACACUGAUACUGAUACGACCUUUGGCUUCCCGGUCUUGCAGAACAAUCACAUUUCUCCAAGCUGGUUGCAUGAAGGUACAAGGUCAACAAUUAAAAAGUCGCGUAGAAGCCCCCUCACGGUAAAGCGUCUUCAGUACAGAGAGGAAAAGGAUGAGUUGCGAGGCAAAUCUUCUGUCCUAUUGGGUGAAGGUGAAUCUCGAAUCUGUG